UACGAAGGGGGCUAGCGUUGCUCGGAAUCACUGGGCGUAAAGGGCGCGUAGGCGGCCAUUCAAGUCGGAGGUGAAAGCCCAGGGCUCAACCCUGGAAUUGCCUUCGAUACUGUCUGGCUAGAGACCGGAAGAGGUAAGUGGAACUGCGAGUGUAGAGGUGAAAUUCGUAGAUAUUCGCAAGAACACCAGUGGCGAAGGCGGCUUACUGGUCCGGUUCUGACGCUGAGGCGCGAAAGCGUGGGGAGCAACAGG
rnacentral:rRNA from 1 species